UCCGGUUUGUCACCGGCAGUCACCUUAGAGUGCCCAACUAAAUGCUGGCAACUAAGAUCAAGGGUUGCGCUCGUUGCGGGACUUAACCCAACAUCUCACGACACGAGCUGACGACAACCAUGCACCACCUGUGUAGGACCCCGAAGGACACCGUAUCUCUACGGCUUUUCCCUACAUGUCAAGCCUUGGUAAGGUUCUUCGCGUUGCAUCGAAUUAAGCCACAUGCUCCGCCGCUUGUGCGGGUCCCCGUCAAUUCCUUUGAGUUUUAGCCUUGCGGCCGUACUCCCCAGGCGGGGUGCUUAAUGCGUUAGCUACGGCACGGACGGAGUGGAUAACCGCCCACACCUAGCACCCAUCGUUUACGGCGUGGACUAC
rnacentral:misc_RNA from 1 species